ensembl:lncRNA
UGGCGCUGCGGUCCGGCUCGCCGGAGCCGCCCGCGCGGGCGCCGAGAGGAGAGGCGAGGCGCGGCGAGGCGGGGAGCGCGAGCGGCGGCGGCCCCUGCCACGUCUGGCCGGCAGCGGCGGCGGGAGGAGGUGAGCGGCGCCGGCGCCGCGGGCAGGUGGGCAGGCAGCGGCCGGGCGGGCGCGCGGGGCCCCUGCUGCGGGCCCCGGGCCGGGGAGGUGGCGCCGGGACAGCGCGGUUCCCGCCACGCCGGCUCCGCCUCCGCGCGGGCUGACGGCCGAGGCCCGGGCGCCGAGCGGGUCCCGAGCGCAACUCGUGCGGCGGGCGCCGGGGGGACGCGAGCCGGGCCGCCCGUCGCGGCGCCGGACGCCGAUUGCCCGCCGCUGCGGGGCCCCGGCCGCGGCCGGGAAAAGUUGGGGCGGACCGCGAGCCCGCGUGGGCCGGGCGGGAAGUGCGCGUGCCGGGCGGACUCCGGGGGCCGGAGGGACGCGAAGAAGGGUCUCUCAUUGGCCCCUGGGCCUGGAUGAACCCUCCAGCUGAGGCGAGGACUAAGAAGACCUGGACCUAAGGAGGCUCCCAUCGCUCAGCUGAAUAACUCAAGUCACCUUUACUGGAAGUCACUUUGCUGAAACUAUUGAAAGAGCCAUUCUUGAAGUUGAAGAAAAGGAGAUUCUGCGCCUUGACCAGAGGAGUGUGGCCCUUCCUUCAAAAUCCUCUGUGGACACGCCCUCCUAGCGUCCCUGGGGAAAGAUGCGGCAGCUCAAGGGGAAGCCCAAGAAGGAGACGUCCAAGGACAAGAAGGAGCGGAAGCAGGCCAUGCAGGAGGCCCGGCAGCAGAUCACCACGGUGGUGCUGCCCACGCUGGCCGUCGUCGUGCUCCUGAUCGUGGUGUUCGUGUACGUGGCCACGCGCCCCACCGUCACCGAGUGAGCCCUGUGGCUGGGUGGACUCCCCCAGCAGGGAGCGGAGGUGCGGGAGGGGGCAAGCAAGAGAGAAAUGGCUUUCCUAUUCGGAGAUGUGCCUGAUGCUGAGCUCUGAGCAGAGCACCCUGUCUUCUCUGAUCUCUGACUUGAUUAAAGUUUCUCCACUUUUCUUGGGAGGGAAUAGGGAACGUUUUAUCAGUGAACAUGCCAUACACUUUAUGGUCCACUUCAUGUGCCUUUCAGACUUCAAAGCAGUGUGUGUGUUUCUUUUUUUCUUCUGAAAUCGAUGUGUAGCUCCACCUGGUGAGAGGAGGCAUCUCUGGGUCCUGAAUCGGUUGGAAUCAGCGCUCACCCCAUUCCCAUUGUUUUGAACAUGACUCUUGCCUACAUGUGUUCACAAUUUCCAAAGGGACUGUGUUUCUUCUCUGUGCUUAAUGUGAUUUGAAAUAUGUCAACUCAAAAGUGAAAUAUUUAUUUUUUGAAUAAAGGAGAUAAUAGCCUUAAACUGGAUGUUUAUCUUGCUUUGCCAGGAGGCGGCCUUGUUUUCUGUGGAGGCACAGGAAGGCGCUGUCUGUGGGGCUCCCUCUCUGGCAGUGUCCCUCUUCCCUCCACUCCUCUCCCCUGAGGCUUUCUCCACCUUCCCCCUUGACUCCCUGCUGUGAAUCACUUCCAGUAAAAUUGUGCUUUUUGACUGGAUCAUCCUAAGAUUGAGAGAAUCUUGAGAGGAGCAGAAAGGGUGCGUUCAUAGGUUUGUUUUAGCAACAUAAGAGUUCUAAUUGGAAUAUGAGCACAAGUGCUUUCUACACCAGUUAGGAUAGCAAACAGCAGCGCAAAAGUAAUCCUGGAGGUAAAGGUCAGGCUUGGUUCUGUUCCCGGAUGAAAGGGUGCAAAUAUGUUGGCCAGCUAAGUUUUUCUGCAGUUUGGCCAUGCGGGAAGUGUUGCUGCAUUGUGUUCUCAUGGCGUUGUUAGCCUCGGUCCUCGUUCCUGAUGGAGCUGCCCCUUUUUGGAAGUCAGAUUCCUAGUAACUGUUCUGAAUGUGUCUGUCCUCCUGUCAGUGCUGAUUACAGAGAGAUUUGUAGGGAGAGAAGCGCUUUGCUAAUCUCGGUGGCUGCCUGACUCGCUCACUGACGGCACAGGCUGUAGUGGGGACCUGGGGCCUCUUGGAGUCUCUCAGGAAGACAAGCAGCUGUUGAAAGGAAGGACUCCAGCUGAUGCUUGGAGAUCCUGGGACGCCGCAGGGCUGAGGGAGCUCUGCUAGCUGCUCCCGAGAGCCGGCGUCUCGCAGAGCUGGUCUCCAAGGGCGACACCGUGCUGCCUCACGCUCACUCAAGUGCCCAUGGCUCUGGAAGGAGAUUUACUAAGAUAUUUAUCCAAUGCAGAGGCUGUUAGCAUAAAGUUCCUCUUAGGUUUCUAUUUUCCUCCCCCUUAUCUGGUUCUCUAACGAGCUACAGUGCUUGUUGGGCUGGGAAAGACGGAAAGCUGCUGCCCCAAGGACCAGCUCAUUCAGGGGCGGUGGGAAGAGGGAGACGUCUGUGGCCAUUUCUGCUCCUCACGGUGUUCACGGUGGCCGCUGUUCUCCCCUCUCUGGCCCGAAGAGUGGAUGCCAUUUACUGUACGAGGCUGGUGCAAGGACAGCCUGUCCACCGGGUAGAAAGACCUCAGCCUGCAUGUUUUGUAAUUGCCUGAUCUGUAUUGAGUUCCCAGCCUACACUCAGAACUGUGGAUUACUUAACCCCAUCGAGCCUCAGUUUCCCUAUCUGUAAAUAACUGGUGGGACAUCUAGUAGAAAACAGGUUUUUAGAGAAAACCUGGGUUUUCAUGCAGGUUUUGCUACCAGAACCCCUCUGAGUCCACUUCCUUGUGUGAAAAUGGAGGUUACCUUGCCUCAUAGGAGGAUUCAGUCGAAAUAGUAUAUUUGUAAAGGCAUGUCUGGGACAUAGUAGUUACUCAAUAAAUAGUAUAGUAGCUCAGCAUUUUACAUGUGUUAACUCCUUUAUUUCUCAUACAACCCUGUGUGGUAAGUACUGGUAGUACUCAAUUUUACAGACAAGGAAACUGAGGCAGGCCAAGAAACUUGUCAGUGUCAUUCAACUACUAAGUGGAGGAACCCAGGCUUGUUUAUUUUUGUGCUUUUGUUACGGGAAAUUUCAAACAUACACAAAAACAGAAUAAUGCAAUAUACCUCAUGUACCUGUUAUCCAGCUUCAGCAAACCUCAACACAUGGCCACUCCUGAUCAUGCAUCGCACUGCGCCUGCACCCAGAUACCCUCCCAUGCACACGGGCAUUGGGGUGUUUUGCAAAAAAAAAAAACAGGAGAUGGGACUUAAAGCCAGGCAGUCUGGCUCCAGAGUCCAUGCUCUUCCUCAUGAAGAUCUGUUACCUCUUAAUAAAUACUAAUCUCCUCCUCUCCAGUCUCUUGGUCUAAAGAAACCCUUCCUGCCCCUGUGUGUGUGAACAGCCCUCACUUGGUAGCAGUUGCUAUGAACAGUCUUAAACAGCAUCUUUAGACAAACAGGCUGUGAGUUCAGCCUUACCCACUGGGUAUCUAACGCCCCGCUCAAUCUCUCGUCUGUUGCUCAUGGGAGAGGAGCCUUAUCCCCACAGCAAUCAGGGAGAAAUAUCUGUCCCAUGGGCUUGUUAUUCAAACGUUUUGUUAUUCUUGCUUGGGACAUUUUGGGUAUGGUGUGAGAAGAGCAUGAGCUCUGGGAAGCCAAGGCAUAUGUGACUCCUCACUUAGGCCAUUUUCUAGCCAAAGGACCUCAAUCAGGUCCCAUAACCUGAGCUGCAGGUGUGCCACAUCUAUCAAGUAAGGUUAAUUUUAUUAUGUAGAGGACGUUGGGAGGAUAAAUUGAGAUAGGGAAAGGUCAUGACAUUGUGCCUAGUACAUUGUAGAGCUCAAUAAGUGGCCAUUCUCUUCCUUGUCAGUGUGUUCACACGCCACAGAAUGUAAAGAAAUGAAGGCCUGCCUCCCAAGACUUUGCUUGCCAGGCUGACACACCACCACACCCUGGACAAUAGAUCCUUUAGGUGCUUCUGGCUCUUCUGUUCACCCACUGUUUUCCUCUUUCUGGUCUGUCAGGAGGUCUAGUGGAUUUGAGUUGGAUUUUCAGUAGAAGGCAAUUCCUAGAUAGGCUUGGAGAAGGUAGGCUGAAGAUGGACUUUGAAAAGUUCACACAACUUUGAUGUGAGCCACCUCCCAGCGGGGAUGAGAUGCCAAUUUACUGUGGACUUGCUGGGUGAAAUUUUAACAAUUCUCAGGGUAAAUAGUACUCCCACGUUGGGGCACUGGGUAAUGAUUUGAGACACCAGCUUCCAAAUUAUGCCCUGUUAUUCAACGGCUUCAAGGCAAAACUGAACAAUUUAUUAGGAGCUUCACAGGAAGUCAUGCUGGGGUUUUUGCAGAAGGAUCUGGGGCUCUUAGCUUUCAGGGUCCUCAUUACCAAGCCUAACGUUUCUUGAACAGCAAAUUCCAAAAGAGGAAUCAGAUGAGAAACAGGAAUAGAAACCAUUGUCAUUGGUUUAAAAGGUGUCACUUGAUGUGUUUUUAAAAAAUCAUGAUACCAAGAAGAGUUUGUGUGUGUGCUGGUUCUGAAGCCACCAGCUUUAAGUCCUUUAAUUCCUUCCCAGCCAUUCAAAGAUGGAGCUGCACAUGCCCAUCCUUCCUCCAUGUGUCCUCCAUGAGGUAAUAGGAAGGAAACCUGGAGCCAGACUCAGCUGCACAUUAGAGAUGAUAAUAUCCGCCUCAGGGACGUUAGGAAGAUUAAAGAGAUGACUGUCCUUCUCUUUUCCCCAAAAGGAUCUCACAUCAUUAUUUACUUGCUAUGGUAGAAAAAGAAGGAAAUCUCUUGAAACGAUGGCUCUUAGAUUUUUUGGGAAGUCUACCAUCAUAUAUGUGUGUGUGUAUGUAUUUGUGUGUGUGUAUGUAUACGUAUAUAUCUCCAUCCUUUAUAUCUCUGUAUUAGAAAUAUCUCACAUGGUGUGUCACCUGAAGAGUCUGUCUUGCUUUGAAUGCAAUUUUUUUUCAGGAACCAUGUCUAAUUCUGUGUCCUCUACAAUAUUUGCCACAGACUUGCUUAAACAUUAAAAAUGAGACACAGACUCUUUGGAUCAAGGAAGUAUGUGAAUAGCUUCCUCUCAAUCCUUCCAGGAUAUCUGUACUCGAAUUAGAGAAAAGGUUUGCACAUCCUCUGGAUUCCUGUCCCACUUUCCCCCAUGAUUCAAAGAUCAAGGAAGAGCAAUUGUGCACAUUAGUUUGGUCUCACCCACUCUAUCAGGCCCUAAUUUUUUCCCAUGGGUCUUUACGUAAUUCAGUGGCCAGUCUGUCCUCUUCCGUUUUGAGUAUGUUCUCAUUACUUCACAAGCCAAGUGUCGCUGACUUUAGUGUCUUGCAGCUGGGUCAUCUGUGUUAUCUCCCUGCCUGCCAGUUCUAUGGAAAAGAGCCAGUCUUUGCAAAAAGCUUUUAAUCCCUUGGGCUGUUGAGUAAUAAUUUAAGGAAUGUAGAUCUGAGCGAGCAUUUGGAGGCUCAGUAAUGCCAUGGUGAAGGCUCUCUCUCCUUCCCUUGUCGUUCCAUUCCCCAUCAUUACAUGAAGGUUGUCUGUCUUUGAACCCUCCUGGGAAGGAAAUUUUUCUCCAACCUGUGAAUAUUUCUUUUUCAGUUGAAAGAAGGCACAACUGGCCACACGCUGAUCACCUCAGCUCUUUUGGAAAGCAUAUUAAGCCUUUGGGGAUUAGGCCUAACUCCCAAGGCAGCAACUCUUUUGGAUUAGAAUAAAUCAAGAAAGCCCAUUAGGAACUCCUUUCAUAAGCCCCUCCUCUUGGAAAUACCUCCACCUCCAGCUGCAUUCCUGGCUCAGUUGAAGGUCUCCCAUCCAUGUCAUCCACCUAGAUUCUCCAGGGAGAUUGAAAUCCCCUGCCUCAUAGGGUCCUCUCAGAUUGGAUUUUAAAAGAUGUAGCAAUAUCUAAAAAAGACAUAUUUAAAGCAAAAGUGUACUAAAGAUUGAAAAUUAAAAAGAUGGAAAAAGAUACGGCAGGCAAAUUGAACAAAAGCUAUGACAACAAUUUUAACAUCAAAACAAUUAUAAGGUGAACAUGCCAUUAAAAGGCAAAGGAUGACAAACACUAGUAAUGUAAUUUAGAAAAGGUAUUAUGAUCAUGGAUAUGUACGUGCUAACAAUAUAGCCUCUAAAUAUGUAAGGCAAGUGACAGACUAGAAAUAGAUCAAUAGUUUUAGUUGGAGAUUUUAAGAUACACCUUUCAGAAAAGGAUAGAUCAAGCAGUCAAAAAGGGCAAAGAUGUAGAAGAUUUCAAUAAUAUAAUUAAUUUUGAUCUAGUAGAUAAGUGUAGAUCUUUUCACACAACAGAGGGUAAACAUUUUUUAAGAGCACACAUGGAACAUUAAUAAAAAUUGGCUUAAAAUUUUUCAAAUUCGAUGCAAAAUAUAAACCCAUAGAUUCAAGAAGCUCAACAAACUCUAAGCAGGAUAAACAUAAAGAAUACCUCACAUAGGCCUCUCAAGGCCAGAUCGCUGAAAACCAAAAUAAAUUGCCCUAGGGGUAGAAAUCAGAUGGGCGUCAAACGUCUUUAGCAUUUAGCACCAGAAGAGCAAUGCUGACAAAGUUCUCAGGAG